UCCGGCAUAGCUCAGUUGGUAGAGCACCUGACUGUUAAUCAGGCUGUCGACGGUUCAAGUCCGCCUGCCGGAG
rnacentral:tRNA from 1 species